UACCCGCAGCACAAGUGGUGGUCAUUAUUAUUGGGCCUAAAGCGUCCGUAGCUGGCUUGUUAGAUGCCUGGGUAAAUCGAUGCGCUCAGCGUAUAGAAUUCCGGGUAGACCGGCAAGCUCGAGACCGGGAGAGGUGUAGGCUACUCGAGGGGUAGGGGUAAAAUCCUGUAAUCCUUCGGGGAGGACCAGUGGCGAAGGCGCUACACUAGAACGGCUCUGACAGUGAGGGACGAAGCCCUGGGGCGCAAACCGG
rnacentral:rRNA from 1 species